AGAAACAUGAGGCUGUACUUUGUUGGAGCUCUGGUGAUCUCCCUCCUGGCUGAAUCUCUCGCUCAAACCCUGAUUCAGCCUGAAUUAUCGAUCACCAGAGAUCUGAUGAAAACUGCCCGCAUGCACUGCCAGGUGGAGGGGAUAGCGUUCGAGAGCGCUGUCAUUCACUGGUACCGACAAACUCCCAAACAGUCCAUUCGGCGGAUUAUGUACAUCCAGUCCAAGUCCUCUCCUCAGAGGGAUGACGGUUUCUCUAACAGAUUCACAGCCGAGAACAUAGCAGAGGGAGGCAUCAGCAGACUGGAAAUAGCACAACUCGAGACGUCUGACGCCGUUAUAACACAAGGAAUUGCAUCAGUGAUAUCAGAUUAUUAUUAUCAGUCACUGCCACAAGGAAACACAAUGAGAUUGCUCUACUCGUAUGGAAAAAGGCACUGUUCAGAAUGAAUAUUCCCUGCAUGUUAAUAAAUCAAUUA